GACGGAGGAGGCAAGCGUUAUCCGGAAUUAUUGGGCGUAAAGCGUCCGCAGGUGGCCCAUCAAGUCUGCUGUCAAAGCCCGGGGCUCAACUCCGGAGAGGCAGUGGAAACUGAUGAGCUUGAGUAUGGUAGGGGCAGAGGGAAUUCCCGGUGUAGCGGUGAAAUGCGUAGAUAUCGGGAAGAACACCAGUGGCGAAGGCGCUCUGCUGGGCCAUAACUGACACUGAGGGACGAAAGCUAGGGGAGCGAAAGGG
rnacentral:rRNA from 1 species